UUGAAUGAAACUUCUGGCUGGAUGCUGUUGUGCUGGCCCUUUGUGGCAAUGUGCACGCAUGCUUUCUGGUCAUUUGUUUCUUCUGUUCCACCUGUGCACUGACUGUAGACACAGUGUGUCUAUGAUAAUUGGUUACACACACACACAAUGUUAUGUUGGCAUAUAUAUAUAUAUAUUAAUUAUAUAAAUAUA
rnacentral:misc_RNA from 1 species